CAUGUUUGCGCCACCUACAGCCUGGGAGGGUGAGCGUCAUGGCGGCUUCUUGCUCUCUCCCGGUGACCCUGGACCUGCCCACGCUGCGUGCCAAGUUGCAGGGACUGCUGCAGUUCCUGAGGGAUGCCCUGUCCAUUUCCAAUGCACAUACCGUGGAUUUCUACACAGAAUCCGUGUGGGAGGAGCUGGUCGACUUGCCACCGGAGACAGUGGUGGCUGCGCUGAGGAAGUCAGCGUCGGAGGCGCAGGCCCGGCCCUCAGAGACGCGCCCCCUAGUGGAAGCAGAGGGGGAAGCAGGUAUGACUGAUUUUCCCAAAAUAUUUUGUGAAACUUCUCAGAAGUUGGUGAGUGUGGAAGCCUUUGCUCUGGCUGCGAAAUACUAUUCUGUACAAAACUUGGGAAUAUGUACUCCUUUUGAACAGUUGCUUAUAGCCCUUCGAGGAAAUCAAAACCAGAGAAAUGGUUAGUAUCUGCCAGCAGAAUGACAUUGUGGAAUUCAGACCUCUCUGAUGGAGACCAUGUCCUAAAGUACCCUCAGAAUGUUACCAAGAAGGUGCUACCUU
rnacentral:sRNA from 1 species